rnacentral:rRNA from 1 species
GAACUUGCCUCUUGGUCUGGGACAACUGUUGGAAACGACAGCUAAUACCGGAUAUUAUGAGAUUCUCGCAUGGGAAACUUAUGAAAGCUAUAUGCGCCAAGAGAGAGCCUUGCGUUCCAUUAGCUAGUUGGUGGGGUAACGGCCCACCAAGGCGACGAUGGAUAGCCGGCCUGAGAGGGUGAACGGCCACAAGGGGACUGAGACACGGCCCUUACUCCUACGGGAGGCAGCAGUGGGGAAUAUUGGACAAUGGACCAAAAGUCUGAUCCAGCAAUUCUGUGUGCACGAUGAAGGUCUUCGGAUUGUAAAGUGCUUUCAGUUGGGAAGAAGCAAGUGACGGUACCAACAGAAGAAGCGACGGCUAAAUACGUGCCAGCAGCCGCGGUAAUACGUAUGUCGCAAGCGUUAUCCGGAUUUAUUGGGCGUAAAGCGCGUCUAGGCGGAAAAAUAAGUCUGAUGUUAAAAUGCGGGGCUCAACUCCGUAUUGCGUUGGAAACUAUUUUUCUAGAGUACUGGAGAGGUGGGCGGAACUACAAGUGUAGAGGUGAAAUUCGUAGAUAUUUGUAGGAAUGCCGAUGGAGAAGUCAGCUCACUGGACAGAUACUGACGCUAAAGCGCGAAAGCGUG